CUCCCUCUGAGCAUAGAGGAGGGGGAGGCGCACAUGCAUUGAGAGAAACUCACAGACACACACAUAUACGAGUGGCGGCCACAUUUUCACAGCCUGCUCUUCAGACUGACAGCAGCAAACGGAGUUGAGAGGCAGCACGAAGAGAAAGAGGAUUAGAAACAAGGGAGGCAUCAACAGAGGAGAGGAGACGACACAGGAUUUGCCCUCUUUUUAUCUCUCUGGGAACCAUAAAAGGAUUCCCCCUGUACUCUUCUUGAACUGAACUUGCUCUGCUGCUAAGAGGACCUGCACCCUACUAUGGCAGCUCUGGUGGGACAUGGGAACACUGUCUCCCUCUCAUCUUGUUCCUCUCAUCGUUGGACUACCCUCAUCUGGGCUCUGUUGUUCUUUUUAGGCAAAGUGUGGGGCUUUAACCUGGAUACUACUCACACACUGCAUAAGUUGGGAGACCAUGGCACCUUUUUUGGUUUUUCUUUAGCACUUCACCAGCAGCUUACCCCAGAGCCUCAGAGCUGGAUCCUGGUGGGGGCACCGCAGGCAGCGGGGCAGGGCCUGCUGAGAGGCAGCCGGCCAGGAGCCUUGUUCAGGUGUCCAAUCACACCCGAGGAGUACGAUUGUGAGAGGGUGGAUAUUGAUGGAGAAGUGAGUCUGGACAGAGAGAGCAAAGACAACCAGUGGCUGGGAGUCACUGUCAAGAGUCAGGGGAUUGGAGGGAAGGUGGUGACCUGCGCUCACCUGUAUGAGCUCAGGCAACGUGUAGGUCAACCUUCAGAGACUCGUGACCCCAUUGGACGCUGCUACGUCCUGAGUGAGGAUCUGACAGAGCGAGAUGACCUGGACGGAGGGGAGUGGAAGUUCUGCGAGGGCCGCCCGCAGGGACAUGAGCAGUUUGGCUUCUGUCAGCAGGGAAUGUCCGUCAGUUUCACCCCAGACAACAACUUUAUCCUGUUUGGAGCUCCGGGAACUUACAACUGGAAAGGUGAGAUGCGGGUCCAGCUCCUAAACCAGACUCUGCUUGACCUUGGUUUCUAUGACGACGGGCCCUACGAGGUGGCAGAUCAGAAACAACUUAAUGCCCAGCUCAUCCCUGUGGCUUCCCACAGUUACCUGGGCUUUUCUGUGGACUCGGCCAUGGGCAUAAUGAGCCUCGGGGAGCUGACCUUUGUGGCGGGUGCACCUAGGGCCAAUCACACAGGGGCAGUGGUGCUGCUGAGGAAGGACAAUGUGUACCGGCUUGUGCCGCAGCACAUCUUCUGGGGGGAGGAGCUGGCGUCUUCAUUUGGGUACUCAGUAGCUACGACGGAUCUGAACAAGGACGGCUGGACCGAUCUGAUUAUUGGAGCUCCUAAUUUCUUUGACCGUAAGGCAGAGAUUGGUGGAGCUGUGUAUGUGUACCUAAACCCCUUCGGUCACUGGGACGAUCAGGCUCGACCCAUCCGUCUCAAUGGGACAUACGACUCUAUGUUUGGAAUGACAGUCAGCAACGUAGGAGAUCUGGACCAGGAUGGAUACGGAGAUAUUGCUGUGGGGGCACCGUUUGAUGGAGAUGGCAAAGUUUUCAUCUACAGAGGCUCAGAUGCUGGAAUUGAAACCAAACCUGCUCAGGUGCUGGAUGGUCGCGACUUUGAUGUGAGACGUUUUGGAUACUCCAUCUCAGGCAGUUUGGAUAUUGAUAAUAACCACUACCCAGAUAUUGCAGUGGGCUCUCUUAAUGACUCAGUGGUCCUCUUCAGAUCUCGUCCAGUCAUCCAUGUGAUCAGAGAAAUAUCUAUCGACCCUCAGUACAUUGAUCUGGAGCAGUACAACUGCAAGGGCAGAGAGGGAGUCUGUGUGGAGGUCAAGGCCUGCUUCACCUUCACAGCCCACCCAGAACACUACUCACCACACAUGACCUUGGUGGUGCACUUUGAAGCUGACACAGAGCGCAGGAAGCUGGGCCUCCCGCACCGCGUUAACUUCCUGGGCCGCAGUUCCCUGGACCCGGAGUUUACUCAGACAGAAGAAGUGGAGCUGCAUCGGCAGCGUCACCCUGUGUGCACCACUGCUACCUUCCAGCUCCAUGAGAACAUCAUUGACAAACUGCGUCCCAUCUCGUUGGCGAUAACCCACACUAUCAAGCCUGUGCCACCACGCAGACACUCAGGUGCCAAGAGGCUGGAGAAGCUGGCGCCUGUACUGAGUGUUUCCCCCUCUAACACGCUGCACUCUGAGGUGAACUUCCUGCGAGAAGGAUGCGGCAGCGACAAAAUCUGCCAGAGCAACCUGAAGCUGAAUUCCCAGUUUGGAACACGACCCCUGACCUCCGACCUCUUCACCCCUCUGCCAAAAGAUGAGGAUGAUGUGCAGGUGUUCUCCCUGUCAGACCAGCGGCUGGUGGUGCUGGAGAUCACCGUCACCAACAUGCCCUCUGACCCCCUGCACCCUGAGGAGGAUGGAGACGACGCCCACGCUGCUCAGCUGCUAAUCUCCCUUCCAAACACUCUGUCGUAUGCCGGCUCCAGGAUCCCACCACAGAUGAGGUGCCAAGCGAACCAGAAUGGCUCCCAAGUUGAAUGUGACCUGGGAAACCCUGUGAAACGAGAUACUAAGCUGAAAUUCUCCAUCAACUUGAGCACAUCAAACAUCACAAUUGAGACCACUGAGUUGACAGCAGAUCUCUUACUGACAACUAUCAGUGAGCAGCCUGAUCUGGUGCGAGUCACAGCUUUUGCUAAAGUUGUGAUAGAGCUCCCUCUAUCUGUCAGUGGACUUGCUACUCCGCACCAGCUGUUCUUCAGCGGGACAGUGAAGGGAGAGAGUGCCAUGACCAGUCUGGAGGACAUUGGCAGUCCCGUUGAUAUUGAGUUUGUGGUUGCUAAUCCCGGCCAAACUCUGCAGACACUCGGCUCGGCCUUCCUCAACAUCAUGUGGCCUUACGAGCUGGCCAAUGAGAAAUGGCUCUUGUAUCCUGCCAGCUUGAAGUUUGAAGGUCACCCAAACACACAGUGCACCCCAACAGGGGCAUUGAAUCCUCUGAAGCUACACAGCUCCUCACCUGCAGAACUCCCACAGCCUGUCAGUCACAGUGCUGGGCGAACGCGCCGCUCCCACCCAGAGGAGGACGGUCAAGUGACGACAAAAGGCAGCAUGGGACGAACCACCCCUGCUGUGGCAGCUUCAGAGAGACGCAAGUCGCUCAAACUGGAUUGUCUCUUGGGGUCGGCACGCUGUGUCCUGAUACAGUGUCCCCUCCACAGCUUCUCUGGUCAAGCUGUCCUGAAGAUCCAUGCCAGGCUGUGGAACAGCAGCUUCAUAGAGGAGUUUUCAGCAGUCAGUGCUCUGGAGCUGCUAGUCAGAGCCAACAUCACUGUGAAGUCCAGCAUCAAACAUCUGGUCCUCAGGGAUGCUGCUGCACAGGUUCCAGUGAUGAUCUAUCCUGAGCCUGGUCUCGCUGACCAGUACUGGAUCCCAUGGUGGAUCAUCCUUAUAGCCGUCCUGGCAGGCAUCCUGCUACUGACUCUGUUGGUCUGCAUACUGUGGAAGUGUGGGUUCUUCAAGCGCAGUGAGCGGCGCCGGCACUAUGAGACGGAGUACUACCGCGCCCAUUUGGGGGUCCAACCCUCGGAGGCGGAGAAGCAGGCAUCAGAACUAUGAUAUAAAAAAUAUUUCACUCUGGCCUGCUCUCCCCUCCUCGUCUCCCUCCAAGCGUGUGGCUUCUUCCAACGGGCCCACUACAAAGACAAAUUGCCUCAGUACCACGCGGUGAAGAUUCCUCGCGAGGACCGGCCACAGUUCCAGACUGAGAAGUCAGGAGUUGUCCAUAAAAAGGAAUGGGCCACGCAUUGGAUCGACGGGACCUCGUAACUCCCUUCGAAGCACUGACUGACUAAAUUAAUUCAAAUCACCAUGUGUGGCACUCAUGUGUCUUUGCAUUGGAACUAACAGACUAAAAAAAGUGCACACAGACUGAGAUCAUGACAUCUUUUGCACUCCACUGUGUCAGUACUUGCAUAUUGGUGGCCUGUUACACUGUGACUGGAUCUAUACUCUCCCAUGCUGUAGCCCGCUGAUGGCUGGCCUUGCAUAGUCUAUUUAUACUGUGCAUCUAUAUCAGUGUGUUACAGUAAAUACUGAAGGCCAACAACAAUAUUAGAACCAGUCUAGCUGCUCAUAUGCUUUACAGCCUGCCGCCAUGCACUUCACUGUCUGUCAUCAGGAUAGGAGAAAAAAAAUCAUGACUCAAAGACAUGCAUGAAUGCACAAACAUACAGUACAGUAUAAUCUUAGAUGCAUAGACACAUUGGACAUUGUUGAUGAAGAAGCCACUGCCCGUGACAAAGACUAUUUUUUGCCUUAACUACUGUAAGACUGAUGACUGAUAUGGGCAAUGAAAAAACAUUUUUUUUAUAUAAAAGAUGUUUUGGGGUUUUCUUCUAGUUAGCACUGGUAAACAUUGGGAAAUGUCAGUAUGUAAGAUAUUAGUUAAGUAAUGUGUUGCUGAAUGUGUUGUCUGGGCUUGCUGAUUUUGUAUAUCCUUAUUCAAGGAAAAGAAUUGCCUUUUUAUGUCAAUUGCCUUUUUAAACUUUUUGUUAAUACGCCAGUCAAAUGUACUGUACAUCAAUAGUUUAAAACCCCCUAUGACAGCCACGGCCACAGCACUGUAGUCGCAUAAAGACCAAAUAUGUAAGAAAAGCUAAAUAUUAAAAAUUUAAAAUAUGGUCAGCACAUUUCCAUUGUAAGCAUUUCAAUUUUUUUCAAAUAUUUCACCAGGAGACCUUUGUUUAAAUAGUUUUAAAAUGUUUUAGUUGGACUAUAUUAACCUGCUUGUCACACUGUUCCUGGUACUGUACUCUAGUCACACUAGCCAGGGUAAGAUAGUGUAGUUAUGUCAGUACUGACACUUCUAACUGCAUACAAGUGCCUUAUGGUAAAAGUGGCAGAUUGUGAACCACUACUAAAGAACACAAGGCGAUUUACAAAUUGAAUCAGGCUGCCCUGAAGCAUCUGUUGGACACCUGUGAAACAUCCCUCCAACACUUAAACAACCUGAAGAGAGGAGAGCAUUCUAGAAGAGCAGAACAUGUGGGCAAGGAACAAGACAAACUUUCUUUGGAUCUAAUUUGGGUCGAUGGAGGGGCUGUGAAGCAUGAAGAGUCAGUUUGUUUUUAAGGUAUUGCUGGACAAUCUUGUAUUAGCUGCAUGAAGCCCCUGUUGCUGUUCUAAACUUCCCCUUUUUUGCCAUGACUCAGUGUUUUAUUUAUUUUAAGAUUGGCUGCACUGUUUUAACAUUGUAAAUAAAAUAAAAGGAAAUAAACCCA